GUAAGAGAUCAUUGAAUGGCAGAAGUCUGAAAUCUUUCCAAAUCCUGUCAUUCCUAUGAGUUCUCUCUUUCUAAUUCUUUGCUUAAUUGCUUUGAGGUCAUGAGGUGGCCGAUGGAUGUUCCAGUAUAUCUGUGGAUCAGUGGAUAGUGGAUGUUUGAAAUAUGUGAUAGGGAUGGCGGAUGGGCUAUUGAUAAAUGAUAAUUGGUAUAUUAGUUGCUUUGCGGUGGCUAUUGGAAGCUUGCAAUAUUAAAUAUAGAUGUUUGAAAUAUGCAAUAUUAUAUGUGUUAUAA
rnacentral:lncRNA from 1 species